rnacentral:rRNA from 1 species
CCUACGGGAGACUGCAGUGAGGAAUAUUGGUCAAUGGGCGGGAGCCUGAACCAGCCAAGUCGCGUGAGGGAAGACGGUCCUAUGGAUUGUAAACCUCUUUAGGCGGGGAGCAAUGCCGGGCACGUGUGCCCGGAGGGAGAGUACCCGCAGAAUAAGCAUCGGCUAACUCCGUGCCAGCAGCCGCGGUAAUACGGAGGAUGCGAGCGUUAUCCGGAUUUAUUGGGUUUAAAGGGUGCGUAGGCGGAUUUUUAAGUCAGCGGUAAAAUGUCCGGGCUCAACCCGGGCCGGCCGUUGAUACUGUAGGACUAGAGAUCGGAUGCAGCAGGCGGAAUGUGUAGUGUAGCGGUGAAAUGCAUAGAUAUUACACAGAACACCGAUUGCGAAGGCAGCUUGCUAGGCCGGAUCUGACACUGAUGCACGAAAGCGUGGGGAUCGAACAGGAUUAGAUACCCGAGUAGUC